UGUCGACAUUAUAGUUGUGCAGGCACUUUGGUGACUCUAGAGAAACUUGGGCCAAUCGCACGUCCCCGUGAAGGUGACUUUGCAUUCGGAUAUCUGUCCUAUCAACUUUCGAUGCCACUUUCUGCACCUAACAUGGUGACCACAGGAAACGGUGAAGCAGGGUUCGAUUCCGGAGAGGCAGCCUGAGAAACGACUACCACAUCCAAGGAAGGCAGCAGGCGCGCAAAUUACCCACUCCCAACGUGGGGAGGUAGUGACGACA